ACGAACGCUGGCGGCAUGCCUAACACAUGCAGGUCGAACGAGACCUUCGGGUCUAGUGGCGCACGGGUGCGUAACGCGUGGGAACCUGCCCUUAGGUUCGGAAUAACUCCCCGAAAGGGGUGCUAAUACCGGAUAAUGUCUUCGGACCAAAGAUUUAUCGCCUUUGGAUGGGUCCGCGUUGGUUUAGCUAGUUGGUAGGGUAAAAGCCUACCAAGGCGACGAUCCAUAGCUGGUCUGAGAGGAUGAUCAGCCACACUGGGACUGAGACACGGCCCAGACUCCUACGGGAGGCAGCAGUGGGGAAUAUUGGACAAUGGGCGAAGGCCUGAUCCAGCAAUGCCGCGUGAGUGAUGAAGGCCUUAGGGUUGUAAAGCUCUUUUACCCGGGAUGAUAAUGACAGUACCGGGAGAAUAAGCUCCGGCUAACUCCGCG
rnacentral:rRNA from 1 species